rnacentral:rRNA from 1 species
UACGGGGGGAGCAAGCGUUGUUCGGAUUUACUGGGCGUAAAGGGCGCGUAGGCGGCCACCGCAAGUCGACUGUGAAAUCUCCGGGCUUAACCCGGAAAGGUCAGCCGAUACUGCGGGGCUAGAGUGCAGAAGGGGCAACUGGAAUUCUCGGUGUAGCGGUGAAAUGCGUAGACAUCGAGAGGAACACCUGCGGCGAAGGCGGGUUGCUGGGCUGACACUGACGCUGAUGCGCGAAAGCUAGGGGAGCGAACGGG